rnacentral:rRNA from 1 species
UACGAAGGGGGCUAGCGUUGCUCGGAAUCACUGGGCGUAAAGGGUGCGUAGGCGGGUCUUUUAAGUCAGGGGGUGAAAUCCUGGAGCUCAACUCCAGAACUGCCUUUGAUACUGAAGAUCUUGAGUUCGGGAGAGGUGAGUGGAACUGCGAGUGUAGAGGUGAAAUUCGUAGAUAUUCGCAAGAACACCAGUGGCGAAGGCGGCUCACUGGCCCGAUACUGACGCUGAGGCACGAAAGCGUGGGGAGCAACAGGAUAAGAGACCCCUGUACG